UAUGGUCAUAUCAUGUUGAAAACCCGGUUCCUCUAUGAUCACUGAAGUUAAGCUACAUCAAGCCUGGUCAGUACCUAGAUGGGUGACCACUUGGAAAUACCAGAAGC